CACCUUGGGGGAGAGGCUGCUCAUGUUGCACAGCCUAUGAGGGAAUGAGGUGGACAGGAGCAAGUCAGGCCUGCUGGAACGGGCCUCCAUCUCCUGCUUCUGCUUAGGAUUUAAAGAUUCUUUAGACGCAGACCGUGCAGGGGCAACGCUAGAAAGCAAGGUCUGGUGUCUUUGGCCAGAUCAAUACGGACACCCCUGAGAGCCAAUCAGGAAACAAAUCCUCUAAGGCCAGGCCUUCCUGUUGUGAGGAGAAUCCUGAGGGCUUCAACUGCUCUUGUAGGAAAGAGUCACCCACCAGCAUUAUUAUAACUGAGCAUGCUAACUUGUGGUUUAAAAAAAUCUGUGGCUAGAGCCAGGGUAGGUUAGUAAUUAGAAAUAGGAGGGUUUCUAAAAACUGUUCAGUAUGUGAACUCUGUAAACCUGAAGAAUUUUUCAUGGGCUAGGAGCAGGCUAGGGGAUACCCACACUCCUAACUGAAAAUGCUUGUAAGCAAAGUGGAGUCAAACAUGUUGCUAACACAAGCAUGACCCAAAAUUUAUUUGGCUCGAAAACAGAGGGGGAAAGAGACUUACUCUUUUGUCACUGCAGCAAAAAGUUACUUGAGGGACACUGGAAAACAGCAGCCAUGUACUGGACUUCCCAGUGCUUCUCCUCACGUCCUUCACCAGAUCUGUGAAUCACUGGGGGCUGCCAAGCUGGCCCUUAAUAAGGAGCAUGCCACCCUAAUCAGGUUCUCAUUCUCAAAUUCUGAUUGAAUUAAUGAAGAUGAACAGGACUCUCAUCAUCCGGAAGUGCUCCCUGCCAGGAAGGGGAGGAGAAGGGCAGUGUAGUGGCGAUGGCGGCAGUGGAAGCCAA